CUGAGGAGCGAAAGGGUGGGGAGCAAACAGGCUUAGAUACCCUGGUAGUCCACCCCGUAAACGUUGGGAACUAGUUGUGGGGUCCUUUCCACGGAUUCCGUGACGCAGCUAACGCAUUAAGUUCCCCGCCUGGGGAGUACGGCCGCAAGGCUAAAACUCAAAGGAAUUGACGGGGACCCGCACAAGCGGCGGAGCAUGCGGAUUAAUUCGAUGCAACGCGAAGAACCUUACCAAGGCUUGACAUACACGAGAACGGGCCAGAAAUGGUCAACUCUUUGGACACUCGUGAACAGGUGGUGCAUGGUUGUCGUCAGCUCGUGUCGUGAGAUGUUGGGUUAAGUCCCGCAACGAGCGCAACCCUCGUUCUAUGUUGCCAGCACGUUAUGGUGGGAACUCAUGGGAUACUGCCGGGGUCAACUCGGAGGAAGGUGGGGAUGACGUCAAAUCAUCAUGCCCCUUAUGUCUUGGGCUUCACGCAUGCUACAAUGGCCGGUACAAAGGGCUGCAAUACCGUGAGGUGGAGCGAAUCCCAAAAAGCCGGUCCCAGUUCGGAUUGAGGUCUGCAACUCGACCUCAUGAAGUCGGAGUCGCUAGUAAUCGCAGAUCAGCAACGCUGCGGUGAAUACGUUCCCGGGUCUUGUACACACCGCCCGUCAAGUC
rnacentral:rRNA from 1 species